ACAAGUACCGUGAGGGAAAGUUGCAAAGCACUUUGAAGAGAGAGUUAAACAGGACGUGAAACCGAUGAGGUGGAAACGGACAGAGUCGGCGUAUCUAGCCUGUAUUCAACUGGAGACCCAAGCACAUUGGGUAGGCCUUUCCCAGAUUGGACAGGCAAUCCAACUGUUUGUGAGUCUACAGUGCAUUUGCAAGUGGAGUGCGCUGAGGUGGUCGGGUUAGCUGUGUGAUCUCGGGUUUGAGGCCAGCCCCUCGGGGUAUGGUACCCGGCUCGGGGGAGUGCUGUUUAGCCUGUUCAACUUGUAUGGAAAUGGUAUCGGGUCCGGCUGGUAUCCAGCUAACAACUGGUGGCGGUCGCAUGCGACACGUACUAGUGGUUGGUUGGGUCCUGGUCUGGCUCCCAUGUUUUCCAAUCCUCGGUGUAAAAACCGGUCAUCUGUCCGACCCGUCUUGAAACACGGACCAAGGAGUUUAGCGUGUGCGCGAGUCAUUGGGUGUUGGAAACCCAAAGGCGCAAUGAAAGUGAAGGUCUCUCUUGUGGAGCUGAUGUGUGACCCGGGUCACCGAGGUGGCCCGGAGCAACAUGGUCCCGUCCUGAUCGCUUGCGAUGGGGCGGAGACAGAGCGUACGCGCUGAGACCCGAAAGAUGGUGAACUAUUCCUGAGCAGGACGAAGCCAGAGGAAACUCUGGUGGAAGUCCGAAGCGAUUCUGACGUGCAAAUCGAUCGUCUGACUUGGGUAUAGGGAGCGAAAGACUAAUCGAACCAUCUAGUAGCUGGUUCCUUCCGA
rnacentral:rRNA from 1 species